GUGACCGCGCGGACCUGGUACGGCAUCGCCUCGCCGCGCACCCAGGCGGCGGUGUCGAAGAAGUCGCCGUCGCCGAGGACGGCGAGCAGGGCGUCCUCGCCGUACUGGCCGGUGGCGCGCUUCUCGGCGCGGCCGAACGCGAUGAUGUGCAGCUGCUCGACGGGACCGUCGGUACCGGCGAUGAGCUCGCCCGGCUCGACCUCGCGCUGCACGAAGCCUCCUGCCAGGGCGCUCAGCAGCGGACUCUCCAGCGGGCGGAGGAAGGCGAUCUCGCGCAGGUCCUCGGCAAUCACCCGGGAGGCGCCGCCGCCGUCGGUGUAGGUGCUGAUCAGACCGUCCCCGAGGAUGAAGCCCCGGCGGCGGUUGACCCGGUAGACACCUGCCUCCAGGUCCACCCAGGGCAGGGCGCGCAGCAGGUAGCGGGGGGUGAUCCCGAGCAUCUGCGGCGCGGUCUUGGUGGUGGUGGCCAGGUUCCUCGCGGCGGAGGUACUGAGGCUCUGCUGGUUCUGCUG
rnacentral:antisense_RNA from 1 species